rnacentral:misc_RNA from 1 species
CUAUGAAGGGCCUCCGUCAAAAUCCCAACCCGUUGAUAGAGAAGGGGAUGCUCUUUUUGUUCCAGAUGUUUCUUCUGCUGACAGUGCGGCAAUGACAAGCGACAAUGUUGCAGCUUUGACUUCUGAAAAGAGGGAACCAGCUAUGAGAAUAAUAAACCGUACUGAGAACAUGACAGAAGAGGACGCUGAAUUUAACAGUCUGCUUGAUGGUCUAGGCCCUCGUUUUGAAGAGUGGUGGGGCACAGGAAUACUGCCAGUGGAUGCAGACUUACUUUCUCCGAAAGUUCCUGGUUACAAAACACCUUUUAGGCUUCUUCCUACUGGAAUGCGGUCAAGGCUUACCAAUGCAGAGAUGACUAAUUUGCGAAAACUUGCUAAAACACUUCCUUGUCAUUUUGCCCUUGGGAGAAACAGAAACCAUCAAGGGUUGGCAGCUGCAAUACUCCAGCUUUGGGAGAAAAGCCUUGUUGCAAAGAUUGCUGUGAAACGAGGUAUCCAGAAUACAAAUAAUAAACUAAUGGCUGAUGAACUAAAGGCUUUAACAGGCGGUGUCUUAUUGCUUAGAAACAAGUAUUACAUUGUCAUAUACCGUGGAAAGGAUUUUUUGCCAACAAGUGUAGCUGCUGCUUUAGCAGAGAGAGAAGAAUUAACAAAACAGAUUCAAGAUGCUGAAGAGAAAGUGCGAAUCAAAGGAGUGGAGGCACCAUCAUCUGGGGACAAUGAAGGAAAGGCGCUUGCUGGUACCUUGGCAGAGUUCUAUGAGGCUCAAGCCCGGUGGGGAAAAGUUAUUUCUUCUGAAGAACGUGAAAAAAUGAUGGAAGAUGCUUCCAGAGCAAAAAGGGCCAGAAUUGUCAAACGAAUAGAACAUAAAUUAGCAGUUGCCCAAGCCAAAAAGCUUAGAGCAGAAAAAUUGUUAGCCAAGAUAGAAG